rnacentral:rRNA from 1 species
UACGUAGGUGACAAGCGUUGUCCGGAUUUACUGGGCGUAAAGAGCGCGCAGGCGGUCGUUCAAGUCGAGUGUGAAAGCCCCCGGCUCAACUGGGGAGGGUCACUCGAUACUGAUCGACUCGAAGGCAGGAGAGGGUAGUGGAAUUCCCGGUGUAGUGGUGAAAUGCGUAGAUAUCGGGAGGAACACCAAUGGCGAAGGCAGCUCGCUGGGACGUUACUGACGCUGAGGUGCGAAAGCGUGGGGAGCAAACAGG